CCGACCCUAGGUCAGGAAGGAUUAACCGUUGAGUUUAAGCAUAUCAAUAAGAGGAGGAAAAGAAACAUACAAGGAUUUUCUUAGUAACAGCGAGCAAACCGGGAACAACCUAGCCUUAGAAUCGGGUGGCUUCGUUAUCUAAAUUAUAGUCAUAAGAAUCAUCCUUAGCGGCGGACCAGGCCAAAGUCCCCUAGAAGGGGGCGCUAGAGAGGGUGACAUCCCUGUUGUGCCCAAGCCUGUCACAACACGAGACGCUGUCUACGAGUCAGGUUGUUCAGAAAUGCAGCCCAAAUUGGGUGGUGAAUUCCAUCUAAGACUAAAUAUGGGAGAGAGAUCAAUAUCGAAUAAGUUCUGCGAGGGAAAGAUGAAAAGGACUUUGAAAAGAGAGUUAAAAAGUGCUUGAAAUUAUCGGGAGAAAAGAGGAUGGUUGCUGGUGAUGCACCUCGGUCAAAUAUGGAAUGAAGACGAGCUAGUCUGUCGAUCUACUUGAGGCGUGGAUCAGCAUGGAUUGGUGGGCAGACCAGGCUCUCGAUACGCUCGUGGAAUAUCGCCUCCUCGAUUGUGGCAGGAAGAGCGCGCCUUUGGAGUGAUUCGGUAUCUAUGUCCUCUGGAUGCGGGCCUGUGGGCUCCCUAUUUGACCCUUCUUGAAACACAAAUCAAGGAGUCUAACAUAUGUGCGAGUCAAUGAGUGAGUAAACCCAUAAGGUGUAAGAAAGCUAAUUGGUGGGAUCCCCCUUGAGGGGUGCACCGCCGACCGAUCUUGAUCUUUUGAGAAGGGUUCGAGUGUGAUCAUACCUAUUGAGACACGAAAUAUAGUGAUCUAUGCCUGAGCAGGGCGAAGCCAUAGAAACUCUGGUGGAGACCCGCAAUGAUACUGAUGUGUAAAUCGUUCAUCUAACUUGGGUGUAGGGGAUAAAUACCAAUCAAACCAUCUAGUAUUAGGUUUCCUCCAAGGUUUCCCUCAGGAUAGUUGGAGCUUCUGUACAAGUUCUAUCUGGUAAAGCCAAUGAUUAGGGGCCUCGGGGGUGCAACGCCCUCAACCUAUUCUCAAACUUUUAAUAGGUAAGAUGGCACGACUGCUUUGUUGAGCCACACCACAGAAUCAAGAGCUCCAAGUAGGCCAUUUUUAGUAAGCAGAACUGACUAUACGAGAUGAACUGGAAGUCGGGUUACAGUGCCAAACUGUUCACUAACCUAGAUCUCACAAAGGGUGUAGGUCGAUUAAGACAGCUGGAAAUGUGUAACAACUUACCUACCAAAUCAACUAGCCCAAAAAAUGGAUGGCACUUAAGCGCACGACCUACACCUGGCCGUCAGGGCAAGUGCAAGGCCCCAAUGAGUAGGAGGAAGCGGUGGUCUCUACAAAACCUUGGGCGUGAGCCUCUGUGGAGCUGUUGUCGGUGCAGAUCUUAGUGGUAGUAGCAAAUAUUUAAAUUAGAACUUUGAAGGCCUAAUAAAAGAAAGAUUCCAUGUGAACGACACUUGCACAUGGGUUAGUCGAUCCUAAAGGUCGGGGGUUCCCCGAUAGAUAACGCAUUUCUCGCGUACUUCAAAAGAGAAUCGGGUUAAAAUUCCUUAAUUAGGAUAUGGCGGUCAACGACAAUGUUAGAAAGUUUUGAGAUAUCGGCAGGAGCCUCAGAAAGAGUUACCUUUUCUGCUUAAUAGCCUGGCCAUCCUAUAAUUGGCUCAGUCGGAGGUAGGGUCCAGCAGUUGGAAGAGCACUGCACGUUGCGUGGUGUCUGAUGCACUCCCAGUGGCACUUGAAAACUAGAGGAUCGAAUGCCGUCCAUGCCUGGUUGUACUCAUAACCGCAUCAGGUCUCCAUUAUGAACAUCCUCUAAUCGAUGGAACAAUGUAGACAAGUGAAGUUGGUAAAAUGGAUCUGUAACUUAGGAAAAAGGAUUGGCUUUGAAGUCCGGGAAUGGGGGUCCCAGCCUCUAACUCAUUGGUUGUCUAUGGACUGCUCGAGAUGCUCUCAUGGCGAGAGCAGGUCACCACAGCCAGUCGGGGGAUGGACUGAGAACAGUUCCUUUGGGGGCCUUCCCCGCGCAUCGAACAACCAACUCUUAACUGGUACGGUCAUAGGGAAUCUGACUGUUUAUUUAAAACAAAGCAUUGCGAUGGACCCAAUGGAUGUUCACACAAUAUGAUUUUAUCCCAAUGCUCUGAAUGUCAAACUGAAGAAAUUCAACCAAGCGUGGGUAAACAGAGUAACUAUGACUCUCUUAAGGUAUCCAAAUGCCUUGUCAUCUAAUUAGUGAUGCGCAUGAAUGGAUUAAUAAGAUUUCCACUGUCCCUAUCUACUAUCCAUAAAAUCACCGUUAAAGGAGCUGACUUGGCAAAAAUCAACGGGGAAAGAAAACCCUGUUAAGCUUGACUCUAGUCCGACUUUGUGAAAUGACUUGAGAGGUGUAGUAUAAGUGGGAGUCGAAAGGCAAAAUUUAAAUACCACUAUUUUAAAGUUAUUUUACUUAUUUCGUGAAUCAGAAGUGGGGCAUUGCCCCUCUU
rnacentral:rRNA from 1 species